CAUGCAAGUCGAACGGAAAGUGCUCAGCUUGCUGGGUGACUCGAGUGGCGAACGGGUGAGUAACACGUGGGUGAUCUGCCCUGCACUUUGGGAUAAGCCUGGGAAACUGGGUCUAAUACCGAAUACACCCUGCUGGUCGCAUGGCCUGGUGGGGGAAAGCUUUUGCGGUGUGGGAUGGGCCCGCGGCCUAUCAGCUUGUUGGUGGGGUGAUGGCCUACCAAGGCGACGACGGGUAGCCGGCCUGAGAGGGUGUCCGGCCACACUGGGACUGAGAUACGGCCCAGACUCCUACGGGAGGCAGCAGUGGGGAAUAUUGCACAAUGGGCGCAAGCCUGAUGCAGCGACGCCGCGUGAGGGAUGACGGCCUUCGGGUUGUAAACCUCUUUCAAUAGGGACGAAGCGUAAGUGACGGUACCUAUAGAAGAAGCACCGGCCAACUACGUGCCAGCAGCCGCGGUAAUACGUAGGGUGCGAGCGUUGUCCGGAAUUACUGGGCGUAAAGAGCUCGUAGGUGGUUUGUCGCGUUGUUCGUGAAAACUCACA
rnacentral:rRNA from 1 species